rnacentral:rRNA from 1 species
UUUUUUAAUUGAAAACUUGUAUGAAUGAUUGAAUGAAAUAUAUAUUGUUUCAUAAAAAUUAAAUUAAAAUUUUAUUAUUUAGUUAAAAAGCUAAAAUUUAAUUAAAAGACGAGAAGACCCUAUAAAGUUUAAUAUUUAAUUUUUAAUAAUUUAUAAAAAUUAAUUAGAAUUUUUAAAAUGAAAAUAUUUUAUUGGGGCGAUAAUAAAAUUUAAAAAACUUUUAUUUAUUAAAUCAUUGAUUUAUGAAUUUAUUGAUCCUUAUUUUAAGAUUAAAAAUUUAAAUUACUUUAGGGAUAACAGCAUAAUUUUUUUUAAAAGUUCUUAUUUAUAAAAAAGUUUGU